CCUACGGGAGGCAGCAGUGAGGAAUAUUGGUCAAUGGGCGAGAGCCUGAACCAGCCAAGUCGCGUGAAGGAUGACGGCCCUACGGGUUGUAAACUUCUUUUGUCAGGGAGCAAUUGAGUCCACGUGUGGGCUUAGCGAGAGUACCUGAAGAAAAAGCAUCGGCUAACUCCGUGCCAGCAGCCGCGGUAAUACGGAGGAUGCGAGCGUUAUCCGGAUUUAUUGGGUUUAAAGGGUGCGUAGGCGGUAUUUCAAGUCAGCGGUAAAAAUUCGGGGCUCAACCCCGUCGUGCCGUUGAAACUGAUGUUCUUGAGUGGGCGAGAAGUAGGCGGAAUGCGUGGUGUAGCGGGGAAAUGCAUAGAUAUCACGCAGAACUCCGAUUGCGAAGGCAGCAUACCGGCGCCCAACUGACGCUGAAGCACGAAAGCGUGGGGAUCGAACAGGAUUAGAUACCCGAGUAGUC
rnacentral:rRNA from 1 species